rnacentral:rRNA from 1 species
CCUACGGGAGGCAGCAGUGAGGAAUAUUGGUCAAUGGGCGCGAGCCUGAACCAGCCAAGUAGCGUGAAGGAUGAAUGCCCUACGGGUUGUAAACUUCGUUUAUAAAGGAAUAAAGUGAGGCACGUGUGCCUUUUUGUAUGUACGUUAUGAAUAAGGAUCGGCUAACUCCGUGCCAGCAGCCGCGGUAAUACGGAGGAUCCGAGCGUUAUCCGGAUUUAUUGGGUUUAAAGGGAGCGUAGAUGGGUUGUUAAGUCAGUGGUGAAAGUUUGCGGCUCAACCGUAAAAUUGCAAUUGAUACUGGCAGUCUUGAGUACAGUUGAGGUCGGCGGCCUUCGUGGUGUAGCGGUGACAUGCUUAUCUCUCACGCAGAACUCCGAUUGCGACGGCAGCUUACUAAACUGCCACUGACAUUGCUGCUCGAAAGUGUGGGUAUCAAACCGGAUUAGCUACCCCUGUCGUC